rnacentral:rRNA from 1 species
GCCAGCUGAUAUAUCAAGCUGCAGCUUACAACUAGCAACAAAUUAAAGCUCAGCAGGUGUGAGCCUGAGCAGUACCUGCAUGGGAGACCUCCUGGGAAAGCUAAGGUUUUUGCUGGAA